CCUACGGGGGGCAGCAGUGGGGAAUAUUGGGCAAUGGGGGAAACCCUGACCCAGCAACGCCGCGUGAAGGAAGAAGGCCCUCGGGUUGUAAACUUCUUUUACCAGGGACGAAGGAAGUGACGGUACCUGGAGAAAAAGCCACGGCUAACUACGUGCCAGCAGCCGCGGUAAUACGUAGGUGGCAAGCGUUGUCCGGAUUUACUGGGUGUAAAGGGCGUGUAGGCGGGACUGCAAGUCUGAUGUGUAAUCUGGUGGCUCAACCACCAAACUGCAUUGGAAACUGUAGUUCUUGAGUAUCGGAGAGGCAGGCGGAAUUCCUAGUGUAGCGGUGAAAUGCGUAGAUAUUAGGAAGAACACCAGUGGCGAAGGCGGCCUGCUGGACGACAACUGACGCUGAGGCGCGAAAGCGUGGGGAGCAAACAGG
rnacentral:rRNA from 1 species